ACAGCACAUGUCUGCAGACCUCAAACCCAGGGCAACCAGUUAAGCAUUCUCUGUAGUGUUCUUUCCCAGUCCUUAACUUAUUCUAAUAACAGCUGUUCUGCUAGAGUCUCGGUGAUUAACAGGGUGUCAAGCCACUCCUCCAGAACACUCCAGAAGAGUCUCCAGUGGGGUACCUGAUGGAUUCUGCGUCACAGAUGGCUUCUCCGUACAUCAAGUGAUAAGCGGCUGCCCUGUUUCCAUUUCUCCUGGUGUGAAACUUCACUCCCAGAGGCAUUGGAAGCUAAGAAAGGAGGGCAACGGGAGGAGCACUGUUGAGAAGACAGUGUUCAACAUCAUGCCAUAGUCCAGUUGUAUAAAGCAUUCAUUCAUUCCUUCAUCCAUUCAUCCAUCCAUCCACUCAGAGAUGUUGG
rnacentral:lncRNA from 1 species